GAUGAACGCUGGCGGCGUGCCUAAUACAUGCAAGUCGAGCGAACAGACGAGGAGCUUGCUCCCCUGACGUUAGCGGCGGACGGGUGAGUAACACGUGGAUAACCUACCUAUAAAACUGUGAUAACUUCGGGAAACCGGAGCUAAUACCGGAUAAUAUAUUUAACCGCAUGGUUCAAUAGUGAAAUACGGUUUUUCUGUCACUUAUAGAUGGAUCCGCCCCGCAUUAGCUAGUUGGUAAGGUAACGGCUUACCAAGGCAACGAUGCGUAGCCGACCGGAGAGGGUGAUCGCCCACACUGGAACUGAGCCACGGUCCAUACUCCUACGGGAGGCAGCAGUAGGGAAUAUUCCGCAAUGGGCGAAAGCCUGACGGAGCAACGCCGCGUGAGUGAUGAAGGUCUUCGGAUCGUAAAACUCUGUUAUUAGGGAAGAACAAAUGUGUAAGUAACUAUGCACGUCUUGACGGUACCUAAUCAGAAAGCCACGGCUAACUACGUG
rnacentral:rRNA from 1 species